AAAGCCUACAGGAGUCAACAAGAUCACUGACCUCAGAACCUGACAUCACAGGCAAUGAGCUGAAAGGAGGAGCUGACUCCUGCUCUCACCAGGGAGAGCAGCAUGCUGAGGAGAAGGAUGUGUGGCACUGCCCUCCCUGGCUCUGCCUGGGGCCCCAGCCUGCUCUGCUGUGUCACUGUCUUUCUCCUGGGAACAAGUUCAGCAAAUCCCGGGGUCGUCCAAUCUCCAAGACACAUAAUCAAAACAAAGGGAGGAAGGUCCAUUCUCAAAUGUAUUCCGAUCUCUGGACAUGCCAGUGUAGGCUGGUACCAGCAGACUCUGGGGAAGGAACUGAAGUUCCUCAUUCAGCAUUAUGAAAAAAUGGAGAGAGAGAAAGGAAAUAUACCCAACCGAUUCUCAGUCCAGCAGUUCAGUGACUAUCACUCUGAGAUGAACAUGAGCACCUUGCAGCUGGAGGACUCUGCUGUGUACUUCUGUGCCAGCUCAUCACAGCCUUACAGAGUCACAGACUUUCUGUCCCUUAACCUUUCUAUCCCUGUCGGUGAUAUACUAAUGAGGGAUGGGGAGAUGCCUCACAGCCUUCGUCAAUGCCAAGAAAUAUUUAUAGCUCUUUAUAAAUCUCUCAUUGGGCUCACACAGAUAGUUCUAAACACAGAGGUAGGCUCCAAGAUACCCAGUUGUUUUUCUGUCUCUGCUAGCACCUCUCAGCUCCUAGCCAGUGGUAGGAAUCGUACUCUGUGCUGGAUGCUUGGGAUUGGGCUUAAACUGUAUGCUUUAAGACAAGGGUAUACAUUAGUGUAUCCAUUAGUAGAUGGAGAUUUCUAUACACAAUAG